UGGGGAAUAUUGCACAAUGGGGGAAACCCUGAUGCAGCCAUGCCGCGUGUGUGAAGAAGGCUUUCGGGUUGUAAAGCACUUUAAGCAGGGAGGAAGGCCAUAAGCCUAAUACGCUUGUGGAUUGACGUUACCUGCAGAAUAAGCACCGGCUAACUCCGUGCCAGCAGCCGCGGUAAUACGGAGGGUGCAAGCGUUAAUCGGAAUUACUGGGCGUAAAGCGCGCGUAGGCGGUUAUUUAAGCUAGAUGUGAAAGCCCAGGGCUCAACCUUGGAACUGCAUUUAGAACUGGGUAACUAGAGUACAGCAGAGGGGUGUGGAAUUUCCGGUGUAGCGGUGAAAUGCGUAGAGAUCGGAAGGAACAUCAGUGGCGAAGGCGACACUCUGGGCUGAUACUGACGCUGAGGUGCGAAAGCGUGGGGAGCAAACAGG
rnacentral:rRNA from 1 species